UACGAAGGGGGCUAGCGUUGCUCGGAAUUACUGGGCGUAAAGCGCACGUAGGCGGACUCUUAAGUCAGGGGUGAAAUCCCGGAGCUCAACUCCAGAACUGCCUUUGAUACUGAAGAUCUUGAGUUCGGGAGAGGUGAGUGGAACUGCGAGUGUAGAGGUGAAAUUCGUAGAUAUUCGCAAGAACACCAGUGGCGAAGGCGGCUCACUGGCCCGAUACUGACGCUGAGGUGCGAAAGCGUGGGGAGCAAACAGG
rnacentral:rRNA from 1 species